rnacentral:rRNA from 1 species
AAUGAACGCUGGCGGCAGGCCUAAAACAUGCAAGUCGAACGCUGUAGCAAUACAGAGUGGCGCACGGGUGAGUAACAUGUGGGAAUAUGCCUUUUGGUACGGAACAACGUUUGGAAACGAACGCUAAUGCCGUAUGGUCCCUUCGGGGUAAAGAUUUAUCGCCAAAGAUUAGCCCGCACUGGAUUAGCUAGUUGGUAGGGUAAUGGCCUACCAAGGCGACGAUCCAUAGCUGGUCNGAGAGGACGAUCAGCCACACUGGGACUGAGACACGGCCCAGACUCCUACGGGAGGCAGCAGUUAGGAAUAUUGGACAAUGGGCGCAAGCCUGAUCCAGCCAUGCCGCGUGAGUGAUGAAGGCCUUCGGUUGUAAAC